CGGGAAGCCCCCUCUCCUCCUGCGGGCACUUCUCGCUGCUGCUGUUGUUGUUGUCGUCCCCCCUCAGACGGGAGGCCGAGAAGCCUCCGAGGCUCCGCGCUCGGCCAGCGUCGCUGAGGAAACAACGAACUUGAGGGAGAUGUUCUGCCGCUUUUGAAGGGUGUUUUUUUCCCCCUCACACAAGAGGUGGCGGGCAGCGGGAGGAGAGGACGUUUGAGAGACGACGACCCACACAGACAGCCGGUGGCAUCCCUGUUCUCGGCUCGCCAGCCCGGCAACUGUACUGUGUUGGCGGGAAGAGACUCUGCCCGCCCCCGCCCAGCGGUCACGCCUACGCGCGCCCACCCGGUGCACGUGAGGACGCUGCUUUGGUUCCGAGCGUUCUCUCGCUGUCUGGGGGAAAUGGGGGCGGGGGGGGCGCCUCUGGAGGAAAGUGCGGAGAAACUGGGUGAGCAGCGCGGAGUUCUCUGCUGCCGCCUGCUGGGCCUUGGGCGAGGAAGCAGCAGCCGCCGCCGCAGUGGCCACAGCAAAACAAAACACGAAAGCAGUAGCAGCCGCAGAGGAGUCCAACUUUUCCAUUUUCGUUUUUUUGGCCUGAGCACGUCUCUGUCAUUCUUGCCCUCCUGAAGGAGGAAAGCUGGGCUAAGUUUUGAAUAAGGAGGGGUUCCCCAUAAGGGUUGCCCUGGCGUUCACCUGUGAAAGGCUCAAGAAAAAUGUAGGUCCCCAUAGAUGACAAUGAGGCGCCCAACACAUCGUGUCAAAUUGUGGGGCUCCUCGACCUCAGGCUAUGGGGGCGAGCCAAACAGACAUGCAGGUACCCCAAAACGAGGCGUUCUGCAAUGUGCUGCAGUCUUUUUAAUGAAGCGUGAGGGUAUAUGUAUAUGCCUCUGACUAAAAUUAAGUUUUACAAACAGAGUUGACUUUCUAAGUCUACAUUUUCUAUUAACCUCAGUGAAAGUUUAAAUACCAAGACCUCAAGAAAUGAAUAGGUAGGUUGGACCUACCAAGGCCCCCUGAAUUCCCCCUUCCCACACCAAAUUGCAAAGGGGAUUCAGACACAGCUGUCAUUUUUGUUUUUCUUAGGAGGAGAAAAGGAAGGCUAGCCUGGUUCAUUUUUGUGGGGACUUUGAAAGAAGCCACUUCAAGUAUUGGGUUUAAAAACAAAACAAAAACAAAACAAUUAAAUUUCAGAGAUGGUAUUAUUCCACCUACACAGUCAAGUGCACAGUUCGAUAAUUGAUUGCAAUUGCUUUAAGAGGAGAUGAAUGGAAGAUACUGUUAUGUAUUUAUAUUUUGAUUUAUGAAUUGGUUUCCAUGAAACAUCUUGACAUGAUAAUAACAUCAUCAACACCAAAAAAAGAUACUACAGCUGCUUUUUUUGAAAAGGAUCUUACAGCUGCUUACAUAACAUCAAUAACCUCAGCUCUCAGGUACAAUAUAAAUACUGACAGCAUGGGAGGACUAGUUCUUUCUUGCCCUCCUUGCAGGGUGCUUGGAGGCACUUGAUUUGCUACCGUGGGAAAUAGGAUGUUAGACUAGAUCAGGGGAGGCCAACAUGGUGCCCUGCAGAAGGUUUUGGACUUCAGCUCCAUUAAUUCCUGACUGUUGGUCACAUUGACUGAGGUUUUUGGAAACUGGAAUCCAACAGCUUCUGGAGAGCACCCUUUUAGCUACACCUGGACUAGAUGUCCUUUUCUUAUGUUCAAAUUAAUGCAUAGAGAAAAGCAACAAACGAAAUCAUAGGAACCCCCGCUGCCGCCAAAAAAAAGCAAUGAAAUGAUUUAUGGCUGUUUUUUAAGGGUUUUUUGAGAGUGCUGUGUUUAAUCUGUACUUUAAUAAAUUUGUUUUAAUUGCUUUAA